rnacentral:lncRNA from 1 species
GCCCCACAUCUGCAACCAAAUCCGUUGGUCACCGAAUUCAGUCAUCUCUGUCUCUUUGUCCAUUCUGUAUGUAUAGUACUCCCAAUUCUUAUAUUUAAUCCGGUGUGGCUCCCACAAUCUUUGUGUUUGUCUGCUGUAUGUAUGUGGCACGCAAGUCUGCAUGCACUUUGUCUGUUAUGCCAGUUACUCUAACCAGUUUUUUAUUUGUUUUUGUGUGUGUCACAACUCUGACAAGCAUGUUCUCCUAUGGGACACGAAGUAUAUGAAGUGGAAUGAAGAAGCCCAUGUUUGAGGCCCGCGUCCAGAGUGGUGUAUUGAAUUUAUAAGUAAUGAAGUGGCAUUUGACUCGUGACAAGCUACUCCUGUUUGCACAUUGACUUCAACAUUGUGUACUGUGAUCAUGGCCUAGUUCAGUGGUAGGUAACCUUGGGAAGUCCAGAGGCUGUGAAUUACAUCUCCCAUAAUGCUGGCAAAGCAUUAUGGGAGGUGUAGUCCAAAACAUCUGGAAUACCGAAUGCGUAUGAAUGAAAAGUAUGGUGUGUGUGUAUGGUCAGUAAAAAGGGUUGAAGCCUUGACGUGGCGUUACUGCUCACAUGUGUAUCCAUGUGCCAAUUCAACCAAUGUGAGUGACGGUAAUACUUAUGAAGUAACCAUAAAUACCGUGACUAUGGAGACUUAAACGCCUGUGUCACCCAAACACAGCUUAUACUGUGACCGUAUCUCCUAAACACUGCUUAUUGUUACUGUGAUACAGUCACAGUGUAAGAUCAAGUUUUAUAGAUUGGUGAGGGAGUCUGUUUAAAGCAUUAGACACUAAGUGCAUUAUUUGUUUUUUAGAUCUGGUGUCCCAUUUCGGGAUGGAGCACAUCACUCUGUUUAACAAGAGGAUCUUUGUGUAUUAUCACCGACUGGCAGCUCUUCCGAAAUCCACCAGGUUCUUAAAACAUAAGUCUCUGUUGCAUUAUACCCAAUUCUGAGACUUCUAAUGAUCCCUAAAGCACUUAAUCUUUUGAGGACAUUAUAUUUAAUUUAUUUUGCAUCUCUAAGACCUCAGGCAGUCACUGUUCCACUUGUAGUCCAGGUGCCAUGGAGGGCAGGUGAAGGUAGUUUUUACUUGACUUAAAAUGUCCUUUGCAUGCAGCUUUCACAAGGUCUUCUUCAGCUCCUGGCAUUUCAUUUGCCAGGAGCCAACGGAAGCAAUCUACUCACGUGCAUGCAUAAGUGUACCUUAGGUAGCUCUGCCUUUUGUCAAGAGUAGGAAAAAUACUUAAUAUAAAAGUUGUUCCGAUUUUGUCUUAUUUUGUGGGGGUCAUGGAAAUGCUGUAAGUCUAAAUUUAAAGUGCUCUAUCAUUCUUUUUAUUCUACGCCUCCAAUCCUCAACAUGGUAAUUGUAUUUUCAAAUAUAAAAUAUAGAGAUUGUAAUUUGCUUUACGGUUACGAUUUGGUGAGUUUGAACUAUAUGUUUGGUUUUUACAGCUCCAGAGGAAAGAAG